GAUGAACGCUAGCGGCAGGCUUAACACAUGCAAGUCGAGGGGUAUAGGUUUUCGGACCUAGAGACCGGCGCACGGGUGCGUAACGCGUAUGCAAUCUACCUUUCACAGAGGGAUAGCCCAGAGAAAUUUGGAUUAAUACCUCAUAGUAUAGCAGUUUCGCAUGAAACCACUAUUAAAGUAUCAACGGUGAAAGAUGAGCAUGCGUCCCAUUAGCUAGAUGGUAAGGUAACGGCUUACCAUGGCUACGAUGGGUAGGGGUCCUGAGAGGGAGAUCCACCACACUGGUACUGAGACACGGACCAGACUCCUACGGGAGGCAGCAGUGAGGAAUAUUGGUCAAUGGACGCAAGUCUGAACCAGCCAUGCCGCGUGCAGGAUGACGGUCCUAUGGAUUGUAAACUGCUUUUGUACGAGAAGAAACAACAUUACGUGUAAUGUCUUGACGGUAGCGUAAGAAUAAGGAUCGGCUAACUCCGUGCCAGCCGCCGCCGUAACAC
rnacentral:rRNA from 1 species